GAUGAACGCUGGCGGCGUGCUUAACACAUGCAAGUCGAACGGGAAAUAUUUCAUUGAGACUUCGGUGGAUUUGAUCUAUUUCUAGUGGCGGACGGGUGAGUAACGCGUGGGUAACCUGCCUUAUACAGGGGGAUAACAGUCAGAAAUGGCUGCUAAUACCGCAUAAGCGCACAGAGCUGCAUGGCUCAGUGUGAAAAACUCCGGUGGUAUAAGAUGGACCCGCGUUGGAUUAGCUUGUUGGUGGGGUAACGGCCCACCAAGGCGACGAUCCAUAGCCGGCCUGAGAGGGUGAACGGCCACAUUGGGACUGAGACACGGCCCAGACUCCUACGGGAGGCAGCAGUGGGGAAUAUUGCACAAUGGGGGAAACCCUGAUGCAGCGACGCCGCGUGAAGGAAGAAGUAUCUCGGUAUGUAAACUUCUAUCAGCAGGGAAGAUAGUGACGGUACCUGACUAAGAAG
rnacentral:rRNA from 1 species